rnacentral:rRNA from 1 species
UACGGAGGGUGCGAGCGUUGUUCGGAAUCACUGGGCGUAAAGGGCGUGUAGGCGGUCCGCUAAGUCUGAUGUGAAAGCCCGGGGCUCACCCCCGGAAGGGCAUUGGAAACUGACGACUCGAGUCCCGAAGAGGAGGGUGGAAUUCCUGGUGUAGCGGUGGAAUGCGCAGAUAUCAGGAGGAACACCUGCGGCGAAGGCGGGUUGCUGGGCUGACACUGACGCUGAACUGCGAAAGCUAGGGGAGCGAACGGG